UGUGUAGCACACUUCCUUCAUAUCUGGGCAUGAGGUUGAGAUUCUAAAUGCCACUGGAAAAAAUGCCUUCCUUCAAAUCAAGCUCCAUUCUACUCAGAACAAGAAGAAGGUGGGGGAACAAGGCAGGUCUCAGGGUCUCCUUGGGACAUAUGAAUAAUAAUCCAGUCACCGUCAGCAUUUCCACCUCCAGCCUGAAGGAUUGUUCCCAUCAAUUAAAGGUGGAUGUCACUUAACACAGAAAGUCCCUGGGUUAAGACUGCAUUCUCCUGCUGGGGACCACGAAGAAAAUCAACCUUCAACCUUGUGAUGUAAUGUACCCUCAUCUCUUGCAAAUGGAAACUCAGAGGGGUCCAGAACAGAAAAAGUCUCACCAACAUGACCACCAAAGCAUGAAAUGAUCAUGGACAACAGCAGACAUGCCAAAGUGGACAGCGGAAAAGCCAUGAAACCUCAGCCCUACACAGAGAACUACAGGCAACUAAGGAAUUCUGAGAGUUAACGUUUAAAGAAAUUUUACAACCUACAAAUCUCUAACAACCAAAGCUUUGAGUAUGGGUUCCACAAGGAUGUGAUUUGAAUUCCAAAGAUUGGUCCACUGUAUGCAUCUUCACCUCCACUCAAACAUCCCCGCAGCCUAAUUUGAAAAUAAUUCCUGAUGUGUCAUGUGCCCAUCUCCUUUUCAACACUUUUGGAUCUGCUAAUUUUCUUUUCCACUUGUGACAACAGAAAUCAGUCCAGGGAUUCAAGAUACCAAACACAUGGUUAACAAAAUAAGCCACUGAGAGUACAGCAAGUUUUGUGCAAAAUACAGUUCAGAAAAUCAGUAUGGGUGACUAUGUUUUACCGAUGUUUUUAAACAUUAAAACUAAGUAUUAAAAUGAAAUUUUCCUAUGGAUCUUAUUUUUGUUAUAUAAA